CCCAAAAGGACGUGAGGGAGACAGGG
rnacentral:piRNA from 1 species